rnacentral:rRNA from 1 species
GACGAACGCUGGCGGCGUGCCUAAUACAUGCAAGUAGAACGAGUGGCGGACGGGUGAGUAAUGUCUGGGAAACUGCCUGAUGGAGGGGGAUAACUACUGGAAACGGUAACUAAUACCGCAUACCAUCAGAUGUGCCCAGAUUGGAUUAGCUCGUAGGUGAGGGAACGGCGCACCUAGGCGACGAUCCCUAGCUGGUCUGAGAGGCAGACCAGCCACACUGGAACUGAGACACGGUACAGACUCCUACGGGAGGCAGCAGUGGGGAAUAUUGCACAAUGGGCGCAAGCCUGAUGCAGCCAUGCCGCGUGUAUGAAGAAGGCCUUCGGGUUGUAAAGUACUUGCAGCGGGGAGGCGUUACCCGCAGAAGAAGCACCGGCUAACUCCGUGCCAGCAGCCGCGGUAAUUC